GUGCAUCUGAACAAACCUUUGACUAUUCGAAAUGAGAGAUAAAGGAUCAAAUGAAAAGGCUACACAGGAAUUGCAAAGAAAAUUCUGAAAUGGAAGGUUGCAGUUAGUUCCUAAGGAGCAGCAAGGUCACAGGAGACAGGACAGCCUCUGUAAAAGGACUGUAGAACUAUACUCUUUGCACCGAAGUGUGGUUCAUCCAAGCGUUCCUUGAUGAAUCGGACAGCUUCCUCGUUGCUGAAGGCAUCCCACAGACCAUCCGAUGCCAAGAUCAUGAACUCUGGCUGCAGUUUGUCCAGGUCAAAGUUUUCCCCAUUUCAGUGAUCUGUGAAGGAAACAACACUGCACACACCCUGCAGUAGGAUUUGCAUCUCACUUGAAGGCAUAAAGCAAAGAAGCAAGUGCGAAAAUAUUCAGAGGCUUUUCUGUCAAACUGCCUUGAAUGAGCUGUGUCAAAAAGAAACCAAAAAACAAACCGACCACGGAAUUUCACUUCAAGCCAGGAAAAAACACACUGUGGGAUCCGACUGAUCGAUUUUAUCAUCACCGGGAUUAAGGCUACUUCUGGUUGAAAAUACAUUAUUUUAUUUAGGGGUUGCUUACAGUGAGAUGCAUUUUGCACUGAAAUCAAUGACUGAUACAGCCAACCCCUGGCUGUUACACAGCUGGAUGGUGCCAGGGAGGGAACGAUACACUGUUCAAAGUAAAAGAGUAAAAUUUAGGCAUCUUCAAUUCCUAUGCAUGCAUCUGCGUGCCACUGUCUGCACUGUCUCAUAGCAAUAUUCCUGUCAUCUGAACAGGAAUGAAGUUACUUGAGGACAUCACUCGGGGACAAAUAAUUUGCAAACACAGAAUAUGAAAAUGUAUGACAAAAUGAGGCAAACUGUUGUCUUUUAUAUCUGCAAGCUGUCUGCUUUGCUGUUCUUAUAAAUGUCUUUGUUCUUUGUAGUUAUCAGAAUGUUUUCAGCUCUGUGCUCCAGCCUCUGCACCAUUUGUCAGUCACCUAAAUCUUAUGAUAACGUUUCCAUUCCUGGUUGGCUGAUCUAAUCUGUAAAUUCCUCCUGCUUGCAGGUGAAACUAUAUUUCAUUUAAUGAUUCACUGCUGUUUAGCGCUUGAAACUUGGUUUGUGUUAAAGCCAUCAAAAACCCAAAACUUUUUAGCUGGUUGUUUCCAUGAAUACUUCUAUGGAGGCUCCAUGAUGAAGAUGUUUCUUUCCACAGUCAAAAAACGAAGGACUCGGGAGCCUAGCUCCUCUGUAGAUGUGCAAACAAAUUCCAUCCAGGGGCUGCUGUGGGUUUGGAGGGAGCCACGACUGCACAUUACACAACCACCUCCUCGCCAGCACAGGGGUUUCCUAAGUGAUAGGACUAUAGCAACUGGAGUGUAAUCGUGUGUACAUACUGAAAUAACAGGGGAAAUAAAAGGCAAUUAAGAAGAGGCAGUUUCAAGUAGACAUUUUACAGACAAUUAGAGGGCAGCAGUGCCUGCCCCCGUUACGGUACUUGCAGAGGAGACAGCUGCUGCUGCAGCGUUGCUUACUCAGUCUUUGCAGGUUAUGCUUACACGUAUAAAGUGCCACUCUCACACGGCACCUGGAACUACCUAUGGCAUAAGUUGAAUUCCUGUGGUUUGCUGAAGUGUCUGUUGGCACUUCUAAUGUUUUCUUUUAUAAAGCUCUCUGUACAGAAUACAUAGAAAUGCUCACAGAAGAGCAAACGUUCUGCAGCGCUGGCUGUCACUGGAGAAGAGAAGGCAUGAAAGAAAUUGGCAACCAUGCAAACAUUUUGCACGUUAGCAAGAGUUGGUAGGGCUUGUGAUCGUGUGACAAGGGGAUAGCAUUCCCAUCCUUGUCACACAAGACUCCUCGAGAAUCACCAACGUUGGCCACUGUGAGUUCUUUAUCUGACAGCAGUGCGAUCAGACAAGUUGUACCUGGAAAAACCAGAAGAGAACGGGAAGCAAAACAAAGGUAGACCAGAGAAACACGUGGUUGCAUUUUCACCUCUGCUGUUAAUUUACAUCUGAUUAUUCAUUUAAAUAAAGGUGCAUCCACAGCUGGGGUGCUCUGGAAGAAGUGCUCGAGGCCAGUCUGCCUGAAGAAGGGCCCCAGCGAUGAAACUCAACCAAAAGCAGUGUUACAAAGCAACACGGCUCUGCUUGUAGAUUUUAAUCAGACAAAGAUGCAGUUUUAAUGAAAAUGCCCGCAACGGGGCAUUCCAGCACUGCCUACCCCUCUGUGGCAUCCUGACCCCUGGUUUUGCUCCUGGGAAGCUAUAUUUGGGUUUCUAUCUAUGUUCUGUGGUCUUCAAGCUGAAUUCUCAUCGCUGCCGCUUGCUGCGUCACUAUCCACAUCCAGACUUAAAAACUGUGGUUUGCUGUUCCCAUGUCAGUAGUUGAAUAUCCCAUGACCGGUAUAAAUAAAAUAGCCAGUAAUAAACAAGUUGUGUUUAGAUGCACUGUGUUCUGAAAAUUUAUUUUUAACGUAAUGGUCUGUUUUGCACAGCCCUAAAUUACAGCUAUUUUUUCAUAAGACUGACGUAUAUAUUCAUUUUUCUUUGCAAUUGACUGACACAUUGCGGACCUAAGUGGAUUUAGUUUCCCAUUUGUUGCUAAAAGCCCCCGCUACCUGCACAAUUUAAUGGUGCACCUAACACCAGGACAUGCAGAGGAACCCAUCCAGCAGCAUCCCCAGCAAGAUGAGCUGCCUGCUCAGGAACUAUCUCCUCUGAAGGCUAAAUGAGAUGGUACCAAAGAGAGUGAAGAAGGCAGUGCUGGAUGCUUGCCCUGUUCAGAUGCAGGUGUUUGGCCUUAGCACCCCGGUGAACAGACCCCCUCGAACCCCAGAGCGCUUAGUAAUGAAAAUACCAGUAUCCAAAACAAAGAUAUAAGAUUAUAACAAGGGUACAAACUGCUGCAGCACGGUACAGUGGAUCAUGUAAGCAGAGAAAAUGGGAUUUAGCAUUUGAGGUCACCUCGUUCUCUACCUUAAUGAAAACCAAUAACUCUGCAAAUGCAUAAAGCUCUGCUUCAGAAAGAAAAUCAUAGCAAUAAACGGCACCCUCCCUUGCUUUUAUUGAUGAAACUCUCCUUAACAAACGUUCAAGCAGCAUCGCGCUGACAAUCUGUGAGAGCCCAGAGGGCUGCUACCUGCUGGAGGUGUCUGACCUUCAGAGAGAAAAAGAACAGCUGCUUUUGCAAUAUGGGUUGAAAACACCACCUGUGCAAUUUAAAACGGGAGGAAAAGUGAAAAGUCCUGUUGGAUGGAAAUACAGAGCCAAAACCAACUGCAGAAGGGAUACUGGCACGCUGCAGGAGAGACCCACGUGCCACACAUGAGGCUGCAAACCUCCACCAUCCACCACCCAACAAAUGCUUCUUUCUGAAGAUCUCCUGCUUUACCUUUCACCGUUGUCUUGGGUUGACAUUUGCAUUUGUAAAUUCAUCGACUCUCCUGUGUGCAAGACCACCCUGCUGCUCUGCAGAUUGCCUUCCCCUUCCCGUGACACCAGCCCAGCAUGUAUUUUUCCUACAGGCAGCAGUAAAAAUCAUACAUUUCCUAGUAAGGAGAAUACUGCCAAUAACAUCGUAGAUCCCUGGUGGUUAGAAAGUAAAAUGCCUCACAAAUACAGUCAUUACUACCACAAUUUAUACAAAAAUGAUAACUUUGAGCACAGUUCUCUUGGUUAUAUGAUCUGAGUAAAAGAGCACUUGAAACAGAAGAUGGUUUCCAAAGUGAUUUGGGAAGGAUCAGUUGUUUCACAGUCCCUGACUGAUGGCAGGGCUAUCAUUAAACCGCUGACCUCAUGUCACUGCUUGCCUUUACAUGAGAAAGCAAACUUCUUUUACUUUGUUUUCUUUUCCGUCUAUUUUUAUUUCAGUCAUUUAACCUUGUGU